GUAGGUGGCAAGCGUUGUCCGGAAUUAUUGGGCGUAAAGCGCGCGCAGGCGGUUCUUUAAGUCUGAUGUGAAAGCCCACGGCUCAACCGUGGAGGGUCAUUGGAAACUGGAGAACUUGAGUACAGAAGAGGAAAGCGGAAUUCCACGUGUAGCGGUGAAAUGCGUAGAGAUGUGGAGGAACACCAGUGGCGAAGGCGGCUUUCUGGUCUGUAACUGACGCUGAGGCGCGAAAGCGUGGGGAGCAAACAGGGAUUAGAUACCCUGGUAGUCCACGCCGUAAACGAUGAGUGCUAAGUGUUAGGGGGUUUCCGCCCCCUUAGUGCUGCAGCUAACGCAUUAAGCACACCGCCUGGGGAUACGGCCGCAAGGCUG
rnacentral:rRNA from 1 species